GCUCGCAACCCAUUCCAGUAUCCAAGAAGGCUGCCAGGUGACACUUUCUUUGGAGCCAGACAGAGACCCCCCCUGGGUGGGCUUCCAGCACAAGUCCCAAUAAAGCCUGAAUUUCUCAUCUGGCCUCAAUUCUUAUGGAUUAAAGGGUCCAAGAACCCACAUCGGUAAUACUUGCUUUGUACUGAGAAAUGGUUUCCUGUCAGCUUGGAUGUAUGAAAACUCCCAGGCAGCCAGCAAAAUAAAGAAGGCACCCCUUCACAUCCCAGGGGUCACCUCCUGCCCAGUGCCCAGGGUCAAAGCCCUCGCUGACGGGCACAGCUGGCCAGGGUGGCUCCCAGAGGACACUUUCUCGUCUUCACCUCGGGGCCUGGUGAACUUGGUGACUCGGGGUCAGAACUGCCCUGGAGGAUGUCUGCUGCCCCACGAGCAGGGAGGAACUGUGUGAACAGACCUGACUGGCUGUUCCUGAGACUGAACAGCUGCUCCCUAGGAGCCAGGGGAGGCCGGGCAGUGGUCUGUGUCUUCCGGGGCAGCAGCCCCAGGGGCCACGUCUACAGGCUGUAUCACGGUC
ensembl:lncRNA